rnacentral:pre_miRNA from 11 species
AUCUUCAACAAAUGGUGCUGGCAUAACUGUGAAAGACCCCCAGAGUGGGGAGACCCUCACUCAAGUCUCAGGAUAAGCCGAUGCCCCAAUAAUUCAAGAGAGACC